rnacentral:rRNA from 1 species
UACAGAGGGGGCAAGCGUUAUUCGGAAUUAUUGGGCGUAAAGGGCGCGUAGGCGGCUUCGCAAGUGGAAGGUGAAAUCCCUGGGCUUAACCUAGGAACUGCAUCUUAGACUGUUUGACUGGAGUAUUGUAGAGGGUAGUGGAAUUUCCGGUGUAGCGGUGAAAUGCGUAGAGAUCGGAAGGAACACCAGUGGCGAAGGCGGCUACCUGGACAAAUACUGACGCUGAGGCGCGAGAGCGUGGGGAGCAAACAGG